rnacentral:lncRNA from 10 species
AUUAGGAAAAGGACCUCGGGGCUGGGGCCCUGGGGCGCAUCUGUGGAGGACUGAGGGGCCGGAGCGGGCCAGUCAACAAAGGCUUUGAUUAUAUGGAUAUUUUUAAAAGAGGGAGACCCCGCAUUGUCAAGUCUUCCGGCCCACAUCUGAAAACAUCUUCCUGGCCUUGGGCCAAAGUCUCAUCUGUCCCUCAGAAGGCUCUGACACCUCGUCAGUGCCUCUUGGCGCCCAAGGGAAAGCAUUCCCCUCUUGGGACCAACUUCCUUGACUGCUUUCCCUCACCAGCACCCACAACAAGGAAAAAGACAAGGCAGAAUUGGAAAGGGGGGAAAGCAAAGAGAGGGUAUGUCUUGAAAAUCAUCCCUUCUCGACUACUUAUGGCACUCAGUGCAGCCUCCGCCUUCUCCAGGUGGGUGGGGACGUGGUGGGACCGGAAUGCGGGGUGCUGAAGCCGCGCCCAGGGAAGAGCCCCCAGCGCAUUCCAGGAUAUCUGCGUACCGCGCCUGCGGGCGUCUGGCCGGUUCUCCCACCUGAUUUCCAGCCCAGCUCCCGCCACCCUCGCCGGUCGGUUUGCUGUUUGCUGUUCCUUGAAUGCCCCAAGGUAGUUGUUUCAGCUCAGGACUUUCACCGUUUCCUCAACCUGGAUUCUUGUGGCCCACAACUCUGUGCCUUGAGAAUCCUCUUCUAGCCUCAAGGGACGGUAAGACAAAAGAAAAUUUAAAAAGGGGGCUCAGCUGUUCUUUUAUGCAAAGGUGAAAAAAGCUUCAUUGCCUAAAGAAGGGACAGAUGGGAUCUUGCUUCCUACAGGAAAAUUAAUUUUAAAAAAGAAAAAAAAAAGGGGGGACAGUGUAAUGCUUCUCACAAGGCUCCAGAAACGAAGCCCAGUAAUUCCUUAAGUAAAAGAGGAAUGUGAAGACUUCUUAAGGGGCCGGGCGCGGUGGUUCACGCCUGUAAUCCAAGCACUUUGGAAGGCCGAGGAUGAAUCACCUGAGGACAGAAGUUCAAGACCAGCCUGGUCAACAUGGUGAAACCCCGUCUCUACUAAAUAUACAAAAAUUAGCCGGGCGUGGUGGCGGGGGCCUGUAAUCCCAGCUACUCGGGAGGCCGAGGCAGGAGAAUCGCUUGAACCCGGGAGCCGGAAAUUGCAGUGAGCCGAGAUCGCGCCAUUGCGCUCCAGCCUGGGCAACAACAGCGAAACUUCGUCUCAAAAAAAAAAAUUAUUCGUAAUUGGUAACAUUAACAAGGAAUUAUGACUGGGGGGGUCAGGAAACCUGGAUUCUGGUCCAAGUUCUACCUUUAUAGUUGUCAAAUAUAUAUAUUUGUUUAUUUAUACACAUACAUAUGUCAUAUAUGAUUAAUAAUUGUAUAUAUUUAUGGUGUACAACAUGAUGUUUUGAAAUAUAUGUACAUUGGGCCGGGCGCGGUGGCUCACGCCUGUAAUCCCAGCACUUUGGGAAGCCGAGGCGGGCAGAUGACGAGGUCAGGAGUUGGAGACCAGCCUGCUCAACAUGGUGAAACCCUGUCUCUACUAAAAAUACAAAAAUUAGCCAGGCGUGGUGGCGCAUGCCUAUGAUCCCAGCUACUCAGGAGGCUGAGGCAGGAGAAUCGCUUGAACCGGGGAGGCGGAGGUUGCAGUGAGCCAAGAUCACACCUCUGCACUCCAGCCUGGACGACACAGCGAGACUCCGUCUCAAAAAAAAAGAAAAAAGAAAAGAAAUAUAUGUACAUUGCAGAAUGGGUAAAUCAAGCUAAUUAACAUAUGCAUUACUUCACAUAUUUAUUUGUGAUGAGAACAUUUAAAAUCUCUUGGCAACUUUAUUUCUUUUCUUUUUCCUUCCUUCCUUCCUUUCUUCUUUCCUCCUUUCUUUCUUGACAGAGUCUUGCUGUGUUGCCCAGGCUGGAAUGCAGUGGCAUGCUCUUGGCUCACUACAACUUCUGCCUCCCAGGUUUCAAGCAAUUCUCCCGCCUCGGCCUCCCGAGUAGCUGGGAUUACAGGCGCCCGCCACCACGCCCGGCUAAUUUUUGUAUUUUUAGUAGAGACGGGAUUUCACCAUGUUGACCAGGCUGGUCUUGAACUCCUGACCUCAGGUGAUCCACCCGCUUCAGCCUCCCAAAGUGCUGGGACUGCAGGUGUGAGCCACCACACCCGGCCCAAUAGAUCUCCUCAAUUUUACCUUACCUUGAUGUAUGAUUUUAGGCAAGUCAGUUUUCCUCACCAGAGUUUGAUAAAUCAGGGGCAAGGAGGAAGUUAAACAAGCAGAUGACUGCAGAGGGUCCUUCCAGUUCUAACAUCAACGGAAGCUAACUACAUUCCCCACUCAAAUCAUCUCUGCACAUACAGCCCGCAGGAAGCCCUUUGAAAUGUAUUUAACCACCUUUCUCGCUCUCAGAAUGAUCUCAACAAGAACAGCUUUGCUUUCCUUGGAGCUCUGCAUCAAUCUAGGAAGGCUGCUUUGUCUCUUCACUACUUGAGCAGGAUGGAGAGAUAUGAGCGGGAAAGACAGAUAAGAAAUCUGAGAAAGCCCCACAAGGUGGGUUGAUAGUGUGAAGAACAUGGGCUGAAGCAUCCAAAUCUUGGUUCAGCUACUUACAGGGUAACCUUGAGAAAGUUACUUAAACUUGUCAGCUCGGACGGGCGUGGUGGCUCACGCCUGUAAUCCCAGCACAUUGGGAGGCCGAGGUGGACGGAUCACGAGGUCAGAUCGAGACCACCCUGGCUAACACGGUGAAACCCUGUCUCUACUAAAAAUACAAAAAAAUUAGCUGGGCGCCUGUAGUCCCAGCUACUAGGGAGGCUGAGGCAGGAGAAUGGCGUGAACCCGGGAGGCGGAGCUUGCAGUGAGCCGAGAUCGAGCCUCUGCACUCCAGCCUGGGCCACAGAGCAAAAGAAAAACAAACAAACAAACUUGUCAGCUCCAUCUGCUGUAAGAAUUAUAUGAGUAACAUGGAAAUGCCUGACUAGACCCUGUUCCCGUUUUUACCCUUAGCCCGUUCAAAUCUUCAUAAGGAUAAUUAGUAGCAGUUUGAGUUCUGGGAUUCACACUCCAAACUACUGUUUUACUCACCCAGCUACCCUUUUCUGAAAUACUACUGAAAACCAUACCUGUAUCAGUUUACCUCCAUUGUUUUACUUGAAGUGAAUUCCUGGACCAUCAGACAUUAGACCAAGG